rnacentral:lncRNA from 10 species
GUUAUUUGACUGGAGUGAGGUCUCAUGUCUGCUUAUGCGGUGGCUCGCUGCUCAGAACAGGAUGGCAGAGAUGAGCACCACCAUCAAAAACUCAAGGACCAGUGCUGUGGGUCCAGUCAUCUGUUUCAUGGAAUUCACCAGUCUGGUAUCUUCAAAAUCCAGAAGGAUGAUGGCAGAUGGCAGGAAGGUAAUGCAAACGUCAUCAGGUGUGACCCCACUGUAGCAGCUGUGAUGGAUGUUUUCUCUCACCAUAGCAAUAAAUAACACAACCUCGGUCACACUGUAUGCAUUGUUGGUCUGCAAAAUCCAUGUUUUGCAAAACUCUUCAGGAAGGUGGAUCUGUAAUAUUGGCAUUGACAUGAGAACAACAGCAGUAUUUAUUCACAAUCUCAAGCUCUCUGUCUUCCCGUCUCUCUCAUUAGCCAUCCAAGUAGUCCUGAGGAACCAAGCCCAUCAGAACAUUCUGCAACAUAAUACACAGCUCCAUUCUCCAUUCAAAUUUUGUUGUUGUUGUUGUUGUUGAUGAGACAACAUCUUACUCCAUCAGCCAGGCUGACGUACAGUGGGGCUAUCUGGGCUGACUGUAGUCUUGAGCUUCCAGGCUCAAGGCAUCCUCUCACCUCAGCCUCCUAAGUGGCUUGAACUACAGACACACAGCGACAUGCUGGGCUAGUUUUUGUAUAUUUUGUAGAGACGUGCUCUCACCAUGUUAUUCAGGCUGGACUCAAACUCCUGAGCGUAAGUGAUCCAAGCACCUUGGCCUCAAAGUGCUGAGAUUACAAGCCUGAGCCACUGCACCCAGCCCAAUCUCCAUUCUACUGAUAACAAUGUCAUUACCAGGUCUGAUGGACAGGAAAUGGUAAGGUUUCUGAAAACCUAAGGAUCACACAGCGAGUUCCAAAGGCUGAAAGUGCAUACCUGUCGACACUGAUACCAAUGACAUCCAAUGGAGGAAGAGGGUAAUCUGGAAGAGUUUCCUGACCUACUCUGCUGCUGUGAUUAAACAACCACCAGGAAAUUUUGAUGACACUGUUCUCCUGAGCUCCUCCCUUUCCUCGGGGAAGAAAAGCAUUGAAACUACAAAAAUAAAGUGUUAUUUGGCUGGAGUGAGGUCUCAUGUCUGCUUAUGCGGUGGCUCGCUGCUCAGAACAGGG